GAAAUGUCAGAAUAAUAGUAGAGAGAAUGAUUUAUUUCAGCUUUAAUUUCUUUCAUCACAUUCCCAGUGGGUCAGAAGUUAACAUACACUCAAUUAGUAUUUGGUAGAAUUGCCUUUAUAUUGCCUUUAUAUUGUUUAACUUGGGUCAAAAUGUAUUGGUUAGCCUUCCACAAGCUUCCCACAAUAAGUUGGGUGAAUUUUGGCCCAUUCCUCCUGACAGAGCUGGUGGAACUGAGUCAGGUUUGUAGGCCUACUUGCUCGCACAUGCUUUUUCAGUUCUGCCCACAAAUUUUCUAUAGGAUUGAGGUCAGGGCUUUGUGAUGGCCACUCCAAUACUUUGACUUUGUUAACCUUAAGCCAUUUCGCCACAACUUUGGAAGUAUGCUUGGGGUCAUUGUCCAUUUGGAAGACCAAUUUGCGACCAAGCUUUAACUUCCUGACUGAUGUCUUGAGAAUUUGCUUCAAUAUAUCCACAGAAUUUUCCAUCCUCAUUACGUCAUCUAUUUUGUGAAGUGCACCAGGCCCUCCUGCAGUAAAGCACCCCCACAACAGCACCCCCGUGCUUCAAGGUUGGGAGGGUGUUCUUCGGCUUGCAAGCCUCCCCCUUUUCCCUCCAAACAUAACUAUGGUCAUUAUGGCCAAACAAUUAUAUUUUUGUUUCAUCAGACCAGAGGACAUUUCUCUAAAAAGUACGAUCUUCAUCCCCAUGUGCAGUUGCAAACCGUAGUCAGUUUUUUUUAUGGCGGUUUUGGAGCAGUGGCUUCUUUCUUGCUGAGUGGCAUUUCAGGUUAUGUUGAUAUAGAACUUGUUUUACUGUUGAUAUAUAUACUUUUGUACCUGUUUCCACCAGCAUCUUCACAAGGUCCUUUGCUGUUGUCCUGGGAUUGAUUUGUACUUUUCACACCAAAGUAUGCUCAUCUCUAGGAGACAGAACGCGUCUCCUUCCUGAGCGGUAUGAUGGCUGCGUGGUCCCAUGGUGUUUAUACUUGCGUACUAUUGUUUGUACAGAUGAACGUGGUACCUUCAGGUGUUUGGAAAUUGCUCCCAAGGAUGAACCAGACUUGUGGAGGUCUACAAUUUUCUGAGGUGUUGGCUGAUUUCUUUUGAUUUUUUUUAAUGUCAAGCAAAGAGGCACUGAGUUUGAAGGAAGGCCUUGAAAUACAUCCACAGUAAUGAUCUCAGAGUUUUAGAAGACUUCCAACAUACACAGCAUCCUAAAGGUGAGUAUAUUUCAACGUGUAGUGAGCUGGACAAUAACUUUUAAACGUUGAUGUGGUUGAUUCCGUAAUGACGUGCUAGGUAGUAUCUAAUAUAAGUACUUCCACUGCAUGGCAGUGAGUAGCUAUUGCAUGUAAGGUCAUUUAAAUGUAUGUAGUGCAGUGAGGACCACAAUGGAAACAAGUCUUUUGACUUUUUGUGUAUAUAAUCCUCUGAAAUGUUGGUACAUGUAUUUGCGCCUGGUGUGGCCUCUUUAAGUAUUUUUAAAUAAAAACAUCAAGUGACA
ensembl:lncRNA